AAGUCGAGGGGCAGCGGGAUUGAAGCUUGCUUCAAUUGCCGGCGACCGGCGCACGGGUGAGUAACGCGUAUCCAACCUUCCGUACACUCAGGGAUAGCCUUUCGAAAGAAAGAUUAAUACCCGAUGGCAUAGUUCUUCCGCAUGGUGGAACUAUUAAAGAAUUUCGGUCAUCGAUGGGGAUGCGUUCCAUUAGGUUGUUGGCGGGGUAACGGCCCACCUAGCCUGCGAUGGAUAGGGGUUCUGAGAGGAAGGUCCCCACAUUGGAACUGAGACACGGUCCAAACUCC
rnacentral:rRNA from 1 species